rnacentral:rRNA from 1 species
AUUGAACGCUGGCGGCAGGCCUAACACAUGCAAGUCGAGCGGUUGAGGUAGCCUGCUACCGAUACAGCGGCGGACGGGUGAGUAAUGCAUGGGAAUCUGCCUGGUAGUGGGGGACAACGUUCCGAAAGGAACGCUAAUACCGCAUACGCCCUACGGGGGAAAGGGGGGGAUCUUCGGACCUCUCGCUAUCAGCUGAGCCCAUGUCGGAUUAGCUAGUUGGUGGGGUAAAGGCCUACCAAGGCGACGAUCUGUAACUGGUCUGAGAGGAUGAUCAGUCACACUGGAACUGAGACACGGUCCAGACUCCUACGGGAGGCAGCAGUGGGGAAUAUUGGACAAUGGGCGAAAGCCUGAUCCAGCCAUGCCGCGUGUGUGAAGAAGGCCCUAGGGUUGUAAAGCACUUUCAGUGGGGAGAAAGGCCUUUUACUUAAUGCGUAAGAGGAUUGAUGUUACCCACAGAAGAAGCACCGGCUAACUCCGUGCCAGCAGCCGCCGUAA